AGCUAAUGGCAAGGUAAAGAAGUUAGGAAAUGGCAUUAGAUAUUGUAUCCAAUUAUCGUAAAUGUGUUACAUUUUAGCAGACUUGCAGAAAAGGGUCAUAAAGCAGUAUCUGAGGUUUGGAAAAUCCAGUUUCAGGUAUUUCUCAAGACAAAUGUAACAAAUCCCUCCAGCACCCAUUUGGUUCUGAAAAUGAACAGAAACUUAACACUGACCUGAACUUAACCCAAGUGAAUUAUAAGAUAAAUUCAUAGUUUAUCUAUCCUCUAGUUAAUAUUAAGCUUAUUUUCCCAUUUGUAGAGUAAUAUUACCAAAGCAGCUUUUUUAGCUGUUGGCAAUACCUGCAUUGGGUUUAGUUCCAGAAAGCAACCCAGGUGCUGCCAAGUUUGUUAAAGCAUUUUUUUUUUAAACUGAACAAAAAUAACGUACAAUUUAUACUCGACAUUAUGCCACCAAAGUCCAAAUAAUGUCCAGUGAA